GUAUUAGUGCUUUGGUUGAAAUACCUAAGAACUGUGUUGUGGCAGCAGUUGGCAAAGAACUGAUAAUUUUCAGGUUGGUAGCACCCACAGAAGGAUCACUAGAAUGGGAUAUUCUUGAAGUUAAGCGCCUCCUUGAUCACCAGGAUAAUAUUCUCUCAUUGAUUAAUGUCAAUGAUUUGAGUUUUGUCACCGGCUCCCACGUCGGAGAGCUGAUCAUCUGGGAUGCCCUGGACUGGACCAUGCAGGCCUAUGAACGCAACUUCUGGGACCCAUCUCCACAACUGGACACCCAACAAGAAAUAAAACUCUGUCAAAAAUCAAAUGACAUUUCUAUUCAUCAUUUCACAUGUGAUGAAGAGAAUGUAUUUGCUGCAGUUGGAAGGGGUUUAUACGUGUAUAGCCUUCAAAUGAAGCGUGUGAUUGCCUGCCAGAAAACUGCACAUGACUCCAAUGUCCUGCACGUUGCCAGACUUCCAAACAGGUUUUUUUAACAUGUGGGGAUUUGGAAGAGUCAGC
rnacentral:lncRNA from 1 species